rnacentral:sRNA from 1 species
AAGGCAGCUAUGCAAAUGGAAAAUUGCAGUGUUGUGUGAUAGCGACCUUGCUCUGGGUAAGUGCUGGGCUCUGGAUGAGCCAUGAAGCCAAAGGACUUCCAGAAGAAGAAACAAAUGAGGCCAAAGGCACAUGAGGUAAGCCUUGCCAAUAGCUAGAAAUAGGUAUAUUCUAGGAGGAGGACACACCAGUGAAAUGACCAAAAAAGGUAGAGAAGGCAGUGCAUGUUAGGGAAAUGAAGUAAAGCCCAGGAGGCUCGGCUGUGGAAAGAUGGGAGAGCCAUGAUGAGUAAGGAUAACACAGAGUUGCUUGGCUUGAGUGGCUGUCACGUAUGUGGUUGCUACACUUGGGCAUCAACAGAACUUCCUAGUCUGACAGGAAGACCACGUAGAGGCCAUUGCCUGGAUCCCAAUGAAGCAGAAUAACACCAUUGGUCAGAACUAGAAUUCUGGUGGCCUGGCUAGAUAUUUCUGUAGCUUACUGUAUGCCUCCACCAAAUUCAUGUUGAAUUGAAUCCCCAUUGGGAUAAUUACCAGACAGGCCAUGUGGGAUUAUGAAAGAUGGGUAGGUCCUCCCACUUAAUGGACAGUGAGUUGUCUCAGAUGCUCUGGGGGUGAGGAGGAGAAGUGGGAGAGGAGGAGAGAGUGUGUGUGAACUAGCAUGUGUUACAUUAUUAAAUGCACAUCCUAACCUGGAGGAAACUGAUUGUAUCCACAUCAUGGUGUGGAGGCACGGAGGAGAACAGGGCUUUAAUAACGUAUCUAUGUUUGUCCAGCUAGGAAGAGACUGGACUUGGAUCUCAGAUCCACCUGAGUUGAGGUGAGAGAUUCUAGCUACAGUGAUGGCGCCCUUCCCCCUUCAGCUCACCCUUCUCUUCUCCAAGUCCCAAGACAAAUUUCAGGGUUAUGGAAACAGUUCCGCAAGAUGAAAGACUUUUCCUAUCUAUAGGCAAAGCUAGCGUGGACGCCUUCCAUCCUGAUUUUCUGGCAGUUUCAACAUGACUGCCACCUCAUAAUCCAAGACAGCAGGAAGGAAGAUAAGGCACCCGAAGAGCCAUGGUCUCUGUCAUCGGAAUCCCUCUAAGAACCGAGGUGAGGUAAAUUCCUCUCAGAGCUGGACAUAUAAUUAAUCAUCCCAGUUAGGAUGCCUGGUGAGACCAAAAGUACCAAAACGGCUGAGCAGGUAUGAGCUGACUUGGAGUGGUUCCAGGACCUCCCUGUGAAUGGUGGAGUAUAAAGUCACCUCAAUAUAGAGGUCUCCUCUGUGAGUGGGUCGGUGAAGGUUGUUCCUACUGUAAACCCAGGGAAGAUGGCUUAGCCUUCCUCCUGGGGUACAUGUAUGCUCACCCUACACCCAACCCCAGCACAGAGCUGAAUGCUCUUUUUCAGAAGUACCAGUAUCUUCGCCUUAGGCACAUGUCUUCAAAGGCCAGCGGCACUGUCUACUGACUGCUUUGUACAUGGUAACUGUUUAACUUAUCCCCGAGUCUUUCUGCAGCCUUCGGAGUCCUGCAAGGAAGGAAGUAUGACCAUGUGCAACUGUGGUGAGCCCAUGGAGGCUUAGGGAGAUCAGGAGAUCUGCCCAAAGUCACUCCACAAAUAUCAGGAUCUGGUGCCCGCUGAGCUCUGCUUUGGUCACAGUUCUCUCAGACUCUGUCCCCAGUUUGGGGGGACACUCACUGCUAGCCUGUCUUCCCCAGGGUAUGAGCUAGGCUGCCUCAUCACUUGGGAAACCAUCUUGCACUUUCCAGGGGAUGCUCCUCUGAGUUAAAUCAAAUCUCCUCGGGGCUCCACACCCUCCCCUCUCCCCUGUACCAUUCUUCACGAGCCAUCAGGGUUUCUAUUCCUGUGCAGCCUCCUAGAUUUAUCCUUAGGUUCAUCGUGGACCUCAACCAACUGGACCAUCUCUGUGGCCUUCCCCAGGGGAGAAAUCAAGCAUGAGACAUGAACAAGGACCAAGAAUACAGGAGCAGAGAGGAAACUAAUUGAGGGUUGAUUCUGAUGAAUAAAUGCCUGGUCGCCGCCUUGAGAAAUGGACCACGCCGGCAGAUGGCUGGGGCUUGAGAAACGGUCACGGCCUUCCGAGGGGCCCAUCAAUAAUAGAUCGGCUCCAGCCCUGGGAGAGGGAAGCGUUUCUGCGGCAGGACGAUUUGUGUCAUUUUCUUCUAUGUGGUGACGGCGAUACAUAAUAUACCUCCUUCCUCAUGACAACGUCGUCUUCAUAAGACGGGUGAUGUGGGAUUCCUCCACCUCGAGGCCUGUGAUGUCAUGUUGGUAGCUUGCCAUUGGCCAUGGCAGCAACAUUUACACCAAAGGUAUUGGCAAAUGCUGCUAGGCAGCACUCCCCUCCCCCAAGCUGGUUGCUUAACUUUCAAGAGCACACA